rnacentral:misc_RNA from 1 species
AAGUCGUAACAAGGUUUCCGUAGGUGAACCUGCGGAAGGAUCAUUACCAAAUCCAAAUUACUUAACCCCAUGUGAACUAUUGUUUUAGUCUGUCUUUGGGAGAAACUUCUUUUUUUUUUUAAGUGUUUCGUUGACACGCGAUUAAAAUAGUUUCUCCCAAUAGAGUCCGGCAUAACUGUAUGGUUGUGUCCAGAUUCGAAAAACACCCACUAUUAAACCACUUGAUUUAUCUGUUGGAAUUUUUUUUAUUAAAUUAUCAAUAAAAGACAACUUUUAACGGCGGAUCUCUUGGCUCGU